GUGGGGAAUAUUGCACAAUGGGGGAAACCCUGAUGCAGCGACGCCGCGUGAGUGAAGAAGUAUUUCGGUACGUAAAGCUCUAUCAGCAAGGAAGAAAAUGACGGUACUUGACUAAGAAGCCCCGGCUAACUACGUGCCAGCAGCCGCGGUAAUACGUAGGGGGCAAGCGUUAUCCGGAUUUACUGGGUGAAAAGGGAGCGUAGACGGUAUGGUAAGUCAGAUGUGAAAGCCCGGGGCUCAACCCCGGGACUGCAUUUGAAACUAUCAGACUAGAGUGCAGGAGAGGUAAGUGGAAUUCCUAGUGUAGCGGUGAAAUGCGUAGAUAUUAGGAGGAACACCAGUGGCGAAGGCGGCUUACUGGACUGAACUGACGUUGAGGCUCGAAAGCGUGGGGAGCAAACAGGAUUAGAUACCCUUGUAGUCC
rnacentral:rRNA from 1 species